CGUAUAUGCGCUGGGAUUUAAUGCUUAAAUUACGUAAAGAAAGUAAAAUCUUCGGUAAAAUGAAUCGUUAGUAAAAAGAACUCUAUGAUAUAUGUUUGCAUGACGUUUAGUUAGGACAAGAGUGAUAUGUUUGGAUAAGUCAAGACUUUCUGUCCUUGGUUGUUAUAGAUUUAUGCUAUACAAAAUAAUAGUGAUGAAAGAGUACAAAGAUUUUUUAAUCGUCCUCGACUGUAUAUUGUGUGACGCAAACUUGUCAAACGGGUGUGGUACAAUAAACUCAAUCUAGUAAUUACACACUACAUACUACUGUUAUAUUCUAUUACUAUUUACGUAAUUAAUUUGUUAUACUUGACGUGUUGAAUGACCCAUGGUAUUAUUAAAAGUAAGUUCGAUUAUGUUCAACAGAUUCGUUGUGGAUCCGAGUUUCAUGUCAUAGAUUUGUGAUAAGAUAUAAUUUUUACACAAUAUCUGGUCUUUAUAUCGUGAAACUUUACAUAUGUAUGUGCUUAAUAUAUUAUGUUAUGUUGUAUAUAAGUUAAUCACGUGAAAACUAAUUAAUUAUUCUACGUGGAAACAGAAAUUAGAAUAUCACAAUUCACAAUGUCACUAGUAUAUACGUUGAUAAAGAUAAAGUGUUUCUCGUAGUGGUGAUUCACAUAACAUUCAGUGAGAUAAAAUUAUUUUAAGUGUUUCGAAUGUUUAUGUUCUAUAAAUG
rnacentral:misc_RNA from 1 species